GUUUAAAUGAAUGAACUAGUUGAAGAAAUAGAAAUGAAGAAAAUAUUGCCACUUUGCUUGCAGGAAAAAGAUACUCAUCAAAAGCUUCAGCAAACUGAGCUUGAAUAUUCUGCUGCUUGACUUUUCUUAGAGCUUGAACAGAAAGUCCAUAUUGCCUAAUAAUGCUACUUUUGUAGUGUUUGCCUUUCUAAGGCAAUUUUUUUUUUAUUUUAUUACAAAUUAACCAAUCUGACUGAUUCUGCCAUUAUUUUAUUGCAGGGGCAUGGAGGAGUUACCAGGGAAGAAAUAUUUUUUAGCCUUAUGCUUAAACUGAACACAACAUCAGGAACUUCUGGAACCAGGCAAAGAUAACAAUUGGUACCAAAGAGAUUCAAACCACCAUGAAGAUGAACCCACGUUGGAUCAGAAUCAGGGGAAAUGAGUUGAGGGCUGAUGGCUGGGUGAAAGCCAAGGUGUUUGCCACAGAGAUGAGCUUCCGUUCCUUCGUCUGCACUGCGUUCAGCCGAGCGGCGCGCAGGUCCUGCCGGCACAGGAGGUAACAGCGCUUAUCUUUCUUCGAGCGGGCUCUGAACCGUCGGCUGGAUGCGCCUCACAGCGACUGAGAGCGCGGACUGAGAGUGCGCGUUCAUUUCAGGCCAUUUCAGGGGUAAGAUCUCCGUUUACGUGAGCGUAAGCUUUCGCGGCUUUACUUUCGUACACGAGCAGUAACUCCGUAAGCGAGGGCUAGCAAAGAGCCCCGUUCCGGCAGCGCGCUGCCGUUCAUCGCGAGCCCUUGGCGCUCGGAGCGCCCCUGGCUGCCCGCGAAGGCGGCGGAGGC
rnacentral:lncRNA from 1 species